rnacentral:rRNA from 1 species
CAGCCGCCGCGGUAAUACGAAGGGGGCUAGCGUUGCUCGGAAUGACUGGGCGUAAAGGGCGCGUAGGCGGCGGCCAAAGUCAGGCGUGAAAUUCCCGGGCUCAACCUGGGGGCUGCGUUUGAUACUUGGUUGCUUGAGUGGGGAAGAGGGUCGUGGAAUUCCCAGUGUAGAGGUGAGAUUCGUAGAUAUUGGGAAGAACACCGGUGGCGAAGGCGGCAACCUGGUCCUUGACUGACGCUGAGGCGCGAAAGCGUGGGGAGCAAACAGGAUUAGAUACCCCUGUAGUCCCUGUCUCUUAUAC